rnacentral:rRNA from 1 species
GUUAAAAAGCUCGUAGUUGGAUUUCUGUGAGAGUAUGAUGUCCUAACGUGUUUAGAGCGCAGAAAACUCUUGCAUCCUUCUGUUACCUCCACGUGGCAUUCGCUUGCCAGUGGUUGGCUCAGAGAAUUUACCUUGAGAAAAUUAGAGUGUUUCAGGCAGGCUUAGUCGGAAUACAUUAGCAUGGAAUAAUAGAAUAGGACUCCGGUCUCGUUGUUGGUUUGAGGGACUGUAGUAAUGAUUAAUAGGGAUAGUUGGGGGCAUUAGUAUUCGGUUGUCAGAGGUGAAAUUCUCAGAUUUAUUGAAGACUAACUUAUGCGAAAGCAUUUGCCAAGGAUGUUUUCAUUAAUCAAGAACGAAAGUUAGGGGAUCAAAGACGAUCAGAUACCGCCCUAGUCUUAACCAUAAACUAUGCCGACUCGGGAUUGGGGGCGUGUUAUUAUCCGCCUUCAGCACCGUAUGAGAAAUCAAAGUCUUUGGGUUCUGGGGGGA